GGGAGAAGCUGAGAGUUGGAAGUUUUCUCCUGAUUUCACUGCACCUGUACCAAGGGAAGGGCUCUGGCAAGUGAAUGCUGCCUUUCGUUUCAUCAACCACUGAAAAUCCUGCUUCACAAAGAUAUGACAUCCUGAAAAGGAAAGUAGAUGGAACUAAGGGUGAAACCAGGAAGUGCCUUGGCUAACUCCAGAGACUAAACCUCCCAUCACCUUCAAGAUCACCUGUGUGUGCAGAGGAGAAGAGAAUUUCCUUUGGUACAAGUGCUCUGUCAAGAGAAUUUCAGCCAAUUUUUCUCUUUCAGCUCAGUGCUUGACCCUACCUUCAGGAGUACAGUAAAUCCCUGAGCACUGAGAUUCUCAGAGUUCCUCUGGGGCCAGUCAUUUGACUACACAUCCACAUAAGGUCUGGGUUCAGUUGCUCUGCUUUCUAAAUUAGUUGUCUUCCCUCUGUUGCUUUCUGAUUCCCAAUAAAGCUGUCAAUAUCUUUAAUCAA